CGAAGAAUAUACAACUAUGUACUGGGGGGCUUUGGGGAGAAAAAGGAAAAAAAUAAAAUCUUUAAAGAUAUCUCUAUAUUAUUUAGAGGGUUAUUGCCAUUCACCUUACAUAGCAAACUCAGCCCGACCUAGUUUUAUGAAAAACAUUUACUGUUUACAUUCGUAGAAUCUUUUUCUCCCAGAAAUGGUUCCCAGGACGACAGAUGUAGUUGUCUCCUCUUUAUCCUCAUCUCAUGAGACAAAGUUGACUUAAUUUCACUCCCAGUAUUCAUAAACUGCCUAGUAAAGAGUAGCAACAUGAUAGAAAAUGUCAUUCUCUUUCCAAACAUCCUUCAACUUUAAAAUAUUUGAUUUGUGGAUACUAGAAUCAAAACACUUUGUGAAUCAGUGGUGGAAGAGUUAGCCAAGCAGGCUGUUUAGUAGUCUGGGGCAAAGAUCUGUCCCCAGAGGAGACCAUGACCUCGUGAGGGAUCACAAACAGUUCCUGCCGGUAGAAGACGCUGCUUUGCUCUACCCCUGCUAGCCAAAUGGGACGCACCGGGAUAGGGCAGUGUAACAGGCGCCCGGGUUGCUGGAAACCGACCCCCGCCCCGCUUCUUGUGCUUCAACAGCACCUCUCCUCCAAGGUGUCUGAAAGAAUGGUGGCUUUGGAGCCCCUCCCGACUCAUCUCUUGCGCCCCCUCUCCCGGCCCAUCACACACACGCAGGGCGCCUCCUUCCGUCUCGUUUGACAAACCGGUUCCAAGUCGGUUACUCCUCCCAAGGAACACACUAGCAACGCAAAUCAAAAACAAGACACCCCAAGUCAAAAACAAGACACUCAAGUGAUCUGCGAGAUGAGUACAGCGGGCCGUUAGCUGGCUGCUGCGCUUCUGUGAGGCUGUGGCUACAUUGCCACAUUUAUGGAUUCAGCCUCAAUCUGCACCCCACCCCGGAUCGGAUGGGGAAGCCUGAGGUUUUUGUUUGUUAAGCAGAUUCCUACCUCCAGUUUUGAAGUCACCUUCGGAGGAUCCCCUCGCCGAUGCCGGGAGCAGCUGGCUUCGGGGUUAUUAUAAAGAGGAUACCGACCAGCUGUUCUUCAUCUCUACAGAAGACAAAAGAGCUAUAAAAAGCUGGAGAGAGGAAGAAAGAGGAAAUUCCCAGGAGAAGAUCCCCAACCACAUCCAGGGCCAUCAAAUUUCCAUAAAUACAAAGCCCAGCAGUGGCAUCGAGUGAAGCACGAGAAGAAACCUCAGGAUUUUAAUACAAGCCACAUAAAUAACUUUGAAUUGUCUUAAAACUAAACAAUGACAAUUCUAUCCAAUAAACUUUCAGGCGACAUAUGGGCAGAGUGAUGACUUAUUGGCGUUCCAGAUGUGGUUAACAGAAACAUGAUGCCCAGAAUAAAAAAGGUAUUCAGUAAAUGUUGAUUGAAUGGAUGGAUGAGUGAAUGAAUAUCUAAACACAUGCCCAGGCUGCCUCUUUCCCCUCUGAAGCUCUGUUGGAAAGAUGUCUUUGAUGCUUCAAACCCAAAGCCCCCUCGGAGGUGUUAAGCCGUUUGACACUGGUACCCAGGGAACAGUUCAUGGAACCAGGGGCUGGUUUCCAACCACUCUGUGAUCUUGUCAUGAACACAGCGAGGGGAAUUGCAGUACCCGUGGAACAUCUUUGCAGACCUUGAUUCAAAAGCUCCCAUUAUUUACAGUAUAGAUUCUAAACUAUUUGAAGUCCAACAGAAUCAAGUACUAAAUAGCCAGCAUCUUUGAGCACUUACUGGACGUAGGGUCCUCUUCUAAGCCCUUUAUGUAUUACCUCAUUGCAUCUGUAUUACAAUCUUAAUAUGUACUAUUAUUAUCAACCCAUUUUACAGGCAAGGAAACUGUGCUAGAAGAUUACCUAAUUAGCAGCGCAUGGUCACACAACUAUAAGCAGAGGAGCUGGAACUCAGAUUCCAUCUGGAACCAGCUCUUGCUCUUGACUGCUACCCAAUGCUACCUGUUCAAAUCUUCCCUCCUGCCACUCACUACCCCAGUCAGAGCGUUUACCCACAAAUAUGCAAAGAACAUUCUAAUCUCUGCAGGAUGUGUUUCCUGACCUCCCUGGCCCACUGUUUUCUCUCUCUUCUGAGUGCUCAUGUCAGUUAUGCUCUGAACACAACUGUAAGUUACCUGACACACUU